rnacentral:rRNA from 1 species
CCUACGGGAGGCAGCAGUGGGGAAUAUUGCACAAUGGGGGAAACCCUGAUGCAGCGACGCCGCGUGAGUGAAGAAGUAUUUCGGUACGUAAAGCUCUAUCAGCAGGGAAGAAAAGGACGGUACCUGACUAAGAAGCCCCGGCUAACUACGUGCCAGCAGCCGCGGUAAUCCGUAGGGGGCAAGCGUUAUCCGGAUUUACUGGGUGUAAAGGGAGCGUAGACGGCAGCGCAAGUCUGGAGUGAAAUCCCAGGGCUUAACCAUGGAACUGCUUUGGAAACUGUGCAGCUGGAGUGCAGGAGAGGUAAGCGGAAUUCCUAGUGUAGCGGUGAAAUGCGUAGAUAUUAGGAGGAACACCAGUGGCGAAGGCAGCUUACUGGACUGUAACUGACGUUGAGGCUCGAAAGCGUGGGGAGCAAACAGGAUUAGAUACCCUAGUAGUC